CGGUAAUACGUAGGUGGCAAGCGUUAUCCGGGAUUUAUUGGGCGUAAAGAGAGUGCAGGCGGUUUUCUAAGUCUGAUGUGAAAGCUUUCGGCUUAACCGGAGAAGUGCAUCGGAAACUGGAUAACUUGAGUGCAGAAGAGGGUAGUGGAACUCCAUGUGUAGCGGUGGAAUGCGUAGAUAUAUGGAAGAACACCAGUGGCGAAGGCGGCUACCUGGUCUGCAACUGACGCUGAGACUCGAAAGCAUGGGUAGCGAACAGGAUUAGAUACCCUGGUAGUCCAUGCCGUAAACGAUGAGUGCUAGGUGUUGGAGGGUUUCCGCCCUUCAGUGCCGGAGCUAACGCAUUAAGCACUCCGCCUGGGGAGUACGACCGCAAGGUUGAAACUCAAAGGAAUUGACGGGGGCCCGCACAAGCGGUGGAGCAUGUGGUUUAAUUCGAAGCUACGCGAAGAACCUUACCAGGUCUUGACAUCUUGCGCCAACCCUAGAGAUAGGGCGUUUCCUUCGGGAACGCAAUGACAGGUGGUGCAUGGUCGUCGUCAGCUCGUGUCGUGAGAUGUUGGGUUAAGUCCCGCAACGAGCGCAACCCUUGUUACUAGUUGCCAGCAUUAAGUUGGGCACUCUAGUGAGACUGCCGGUGACAAACCGGAGGAAGGUGGGGACGACGUCAGAUCAUCAUGCCCCUUAUGACCUGGGCUACACACGUGCUACAAUGGACGGUACAACGAGUCGCGAACUCGCGAGGGCAAGCAAAUCUCUUAAAACCGUUCUCAGUUCGGACUGCAGGCUGCAACUCGCCUGCACGAAGUCGGAAUCGCUAGUAAUCGCGGAUCAGCAUGCCGCGGUGAAUACGUUCCCGGGCCUUGUACACACCGCCCGUCACACCAUGAGAGUUUGUAACACCCAAAGUCGGUGGGGUAACC
rnacentral:rRNA from 2 species